rnacentral:rRNA from 1 species
CUUCGGAUCUAGCGGCGGACGGGUGAGUAACGCGUGGGGAUGUGCCCUUUGCUACGGAAUAGUCCCGGGAAACUGGGUUUAAUACCGUAUGAGCCCUUCGGGGGAAAGAUUUAUCGGCAAAGGAUCAACCCGCGUUGGAUUAGGUAGUUGGUGGGGUAAUGGCCUACCAAGCCGACGAUCCAUAGCUGGUUUGAGAGGAUGAUCAGCCACACUGGGACUGAGACACGGCCCAGACUCCUACGGGAGGCAGCAGUGGGGAAUCUUAGACAAUGGGGGCAACCCUGAUCUAGCCAUGCCGCGUGAACGAUGAAGGCCUUAGGGUUGUAAAGUUCUUUCAGCUG